CUCUCUACGUACACACUUCCUGUCUGCUAAAUAACAGUGUCAGGAAUAUCAUCUAUCAUGGUGGGCUACUGUCCCAUCUGUGGGAAACCCGUCUACUUUGGUGAGAAGAAGAGGUCAUUGGGGCGGGACUACCACCCUCUGUGUCUGAAGUGUCAACAGUGUCAGAGACAGUUGACCCCAGGACAACAUGCUGAGCAGGUAACAGGAGACUGAUGUCAAACUGUCACAGCUCAGCCUCCUCUUCCUCUUCCUCCUCCUAGGAACCAGUCUAACCAAAAACCACCAAAAUACAACCUAAUGAGAACUAACAGGCUAUCAACAAGGAUCUAUGUUCAACAAAACUGACAUUCAGCCAACAAGCCAACGACCAACCAACUAGACCCAACAUUCAGCCAACCAACAUUUGACCAAUCAAGAAAUACUCUGAAAGUCCCCCUCUUUCAGUCAAUCAUAAAACAA